rnacentral:rRNA from 1 species
CCCAGACUCCUACGGGAGGCAGCAGUGGGGGAUAUUGCACAAUGGGGGGAACCCUGAUGCAGCGACGCCGCGUGGGUGAAGGAGCGUUUCGGCGCGUAAAGCCCUAUCGGCAGGGAAGAAGGAGGACGGUACCUGACUAAGAAGCCCCGGCUAACUACGUGCCAGCAGCCGCGGUAAUACGUAGGGGGCAAGCGUUAUCCGGAUUUACUGGGUGUAAAGGGGGCGCAGACGGCAGCGCAAGCCAGGAGUGAAAGCCCGGGGCCCAACCCCGGGACUGCUCUUGGAACUGCGCGGCUGGAGUGCAGGAGGGGCAGGCGGAAUUCCUGGUGUAGCGGUGAAAUGCGUAGAUAUCAGGAGGAACACCGGUGGCGAAGGCGGCCUGCUGGACUGCGACUGACGUUGAGGCCCGAAAGCGUGGGGAGCAAACAGGAUUAGAUACCCGGGUAUG